UACGUAGGGGGCUAGCGUUGUCCGGAUUUAUUGGGCGUAAAGAGCGUGUAGGCGGCCAGGUAGGUCUGCUGUGAAAACUCGAGGCUCAACCUCGAGAUGUCGGCGGAAACCAUCUGGCUAGAGUCCGGAAGAGGAGAGUAGAAUUCCUGGUGUAGCGGUGAAAUGCGCAGAUAUCAGGAGGAAUACCCGUGGCGAAAGCGGCUCUCUGGGACGGUACUGACGCUGAGACGCGAAAGCGUGGGGAGCAAACAGG
rnacentral:rRNA from 1 species